CUCACUUUCUGAAAGCAUGUGCAGAAACAUAUAAACAUAGGACGUUAUAGCAAAAGAGAUGAAGGGUAACCAUACUAAACAAACAUGUGUCAGAUAAGUCAAGCUGACGGGUACCUCAAAAUAUCCGGGACGAUGAGAAAGUCCAGAUAAGGAGAUUCAGAGGCUAUCAUAUGGACGAGAAUUGAAGACCAAUUAGAGUCAUUGGUGGUAUCGUUGAAGAAUGUUAUUGCUGCUGUAAAGGCUCGGCAACCUGAAACACACUCCAGAUGUCACGACUGUGAAGCUACUUCCUUAAAAUCAGAUGUUCCUUCCGUUGAGAAUGACAAAGUUAAAGUGUUGACAGUCAAAGAUGUGAUUGAUGGCAGAAACAAUGGUGGAAUUGGCUCAACUAAAAUGGCUUCUCCUUUGCAUCUCAAAAGCUGAAAAGCAAGCACCCUACCCCUACGAAGGAGCAACCUUUUGGUCACAUCCAUAUGCUCACGAGGACGAUAAGAAACGGUUGCACAAACGAUUAAACUGAUAAGCCUAUGGUAGUCCAUUCUUCUUAUGGUUGCGACUACAAGGUUUGGACUAAUGAUGAUGAAAAAAAAAAGUUAGGUGGAAGCAGAAAUGAAACAUUUUUGGUGCCCUUGAAAAUUUUCUUUUAUUGGAUCCCAAUUUCACUCGACUUGAGGACAAGUUGAUUCUCUAUGCUGGCUGCGAGGGUACAAACACACUAAAUCAGAAGAGACCCGUUUUGAAAAUAGUUGGACGGUUGGACCUAAUUCCUGAUAAGACCUAUAGUCAAUCCCAUUUAAAAUAAAAUCAUACGUGAUGGCCUUAUCAGGCCAUGCAUAUAACGCAACGUAUGAUUUUAUUUUAGAUGGUCGGGCUUGAUUACAGGUCUUAUCACGUCUAGCCACUUUCAAAUGGACCAGGUCUGAUUUAGUGUGGUCAUUCUAGUAUAGGGUUCGUAUCACAUAGAUCUUACUUGCAGUCACAGAGAAAGCAUCAAGUCUUUCCUAUGACUGACAUGGAAGCAAGAUUCUUAGAAUUUCAUCUCGAAUAAAAUUCUACUAAUAAAACAACAAUCAUUCAAUCAA